AACGAACGCUGGCGGCAGGCCUAACACAUGCGAGUCGAGCGCCCCGCAAGGGGAGCGGCGGACGGGUGAGUAACGCGUGGGAAUAUGCCCUUUGCUACGGAAUAGUCUCGGGAAACUGGGGGUAAUACCGUAUACGCCCUUUGGGGGAAAGAUUUAUCGGCGAAGGAUUAGCCCGCGUUGGAUUAGGUAGUUGGUGGGGUAAUGGCCUACCAAGCCGACGAUCCAUAGCUGGUUUGAGAGGAUGAUCAGCCACACUGGAACUGAGACACGGCCCAGACUCCUACGGGAGGCAGCAGUGGGGAAUCUUAGACAAUGGGGGCAACCCUGAUCUAGCCAUGCCGCGUGAGUGAUGAAGGCCUUAGGGUUGUAAAGCUCUUUCAGCUGGGAAGAUAAUGACGGUACCAGCAGAAGAAGCCCCGGCUAACUCCGUG
rnacentral:rRNA from 1 species